GUGGGGAAUAUUGGACAAUGGGCGCAAGCCUGAUCCAGCCAUGCCGCGUGAGUGAUGAAGGCCCUAGGGUUGUAAAGCUCUUUCAGUGGGGACGAUAAUGACGGUACCCACAGAAGAAGCCCCGGCUAACUUCGUGCCAGCAGCCGCGGUAAUACGAAGGGGGCUAGCGUUGUUCGGAUUUACUGGGCGUAAAGCGCACGUAGGCGGAUCGUUAAGUCGAGGGUGAAAUCCUGGAGCUCAACUCCAGAACUGCCUUUGAUACUGGGUGUCUGGAGUAUGGAAGAGGUGAGUGGAAUUCCGAGUGUAGAGGUGAAAUUCGUAGAUAUUCGGAGGAACACCAGUGGCGAAGGCGGCUCACUGGUCCAUUACUGACGCUGAGGUGCGAAAGCGUGGGGAGCAAACAGGAUUAGAAACCCUGGUAGUCC
rnacentral:rRNA from 1 species